UUCUCCUCACAGAUGACAUGGUUCUAUCUACAUAAGAAUCCUAACCCAUAUUCCACGACUACUGGAUAUAAAAAAUGAGUUUACAAAGCUGUAGGAUGGGGCUUCACUGGAAAAAUAAGGUAUAUUUUCCUGUCAAGUGGAAAUUAAUAUCAUUGACAGUGCUCUUUACAGUAAUGACAAAAAAACCAUAAAAUUACAAAUGUAAAAUAGGGAUGUUCAUAAUCAGCAUAAGAAAGACUACAUGUAUAGUGAUGAAGAAAUAAAGAUAGGAAAGUUAGCUCAGUGGUUAAGAUUUAACUUGUUAACCUGCUGUUGUUGCAGAGGAACUGGUUCAGUUCUAGCACCCACCCAUAUACCAACUCCCACACCUCUGGAAUUCCACAUUCUGGAAAUCUGACACCUUUUCCUGACCUUGGUGGACACUAGGUAUACACAUGAUCCAUACCUGUCUAUGCAGGCCAAACACUCGUUCACGUUACAUUUGGAAAAUGAAAGAAGAAAGAAAUCAAGGCAGCUAUAACGCUCCAUAUGGGAACGCUCCACAUUCGUCAUAUGUCAACAAUUACUGAACAAGUUUACAUGUGCAACAGAUUCCUGGGGAAUAAUUGCCUUCAGAAAAAAAGUGUAAUAACACCAAGUUAUGUGAAACAUACUGUGAAAAUUAAAAAGACAACAGAAUAGUCAAACAUGAUUCUGAAAAGGAAAAGGUCAAAAUCAGAAAGAUCUCAGUGCCUAAUCAGCCUGGUGCUAUCAACAGAGUAGGCACUGAAACAACACAGCAUAAAACAGGACUCCAGAAUGACAUCAAACACAUGUAGGCAACAGACACUUAACAGAUGAUUGAUUUUUAAGCAGGGAAAGGGUGACAUCGCUCCAGUGUGUGCCACUGAAACAACCUGCUGACUGACUGCUAAAAAAGGGAAGAUUCAAGACUACUACAGACCUUCUGUGGACUUAUAGACCCAAGCACAGAGCUUAAUAUUGUAAAGUCAUUUGACUUUUUAGAAAAGUAAGGGAGAAUGUUUGGGAACUUGACUUGGGCAAAAAUCAUCUCAGAUAAAAGAGCAAAAUCACUGUGUGCUAGCAAGAUGGUUAAACAUUGAUGUUGAUGUAGAUGUUGAAAUAGAUCUAACACCUUUUUAAGGCAAAAUUGUGCAGCUACUACAAAGCUGUUUGUAAGUGUAAAAUAUGACACACUCCCAUCCUGCUCACAUGUCCCCACGCUGGAAAGGACAGCCUGCAUUUAAAUUUCAAGAAAUUUUUAUGUGACUAUUUGCAGCAGCAUAAGUGUCCCUGUAUGAAUGACACAUUUGUGACCAUUGAAAUAUCCCCAAGCUGAUGACAAGGUAAACCUCUCAACACAAGAAACAACUGGAAUCACAUGCCUGUGGGCACCCUUUCUUAUGCAACUUUAACAGGACAAAUGUCCCAUAGGCUCCUAACCCAAAAUGUCCAUAUACUAUUUGCCAGCCAGCAAGCUUAUGCAAACUUGAGGUCAGAGAGCUACAGGAUGAGGUCCCCUUUGCAGUUUCCUUUGAGAAGAGACCCCCAACUGCCACUACUCACUUCCUCCUCUCACUUCUCUAUUAGUUUCUGAAAGCUUUCCAUAACCUCUCUGUAUAACACUUGCUGGUGAGAUUCUUGGGAAAUUCUGAAUUGAGAGCAUAAUUCUGCGUCAGCUGUGCUGUGGAUACGGUCUCUCAGCAUGUAGCCUGAAGUGCUUGUUCCUGACAGGCUACUGCUCGGCACUGCACUGUGGGUGAUGAGCAGAGGAGGUUGCUCUGACAAGAUGGAGGAACUGAGGCAGGAUUCUCUGCUCCAUGGAUCCACUGUACGGCAUCUGCAAAGCAAUCUGGCGACGGAGGCUCUGCACCACCUUCUUCUUGCUGAAACAGGCCUCUGAUGACUAAAGAUAUUUGGAAGACAGCCUGAGAGCUUGUGGGUGGAUUUUCAAAUCAGCUGACCUGGAAGCUGCCAGUGAUUGGGUGCCUACCCAACUCUGACCACACACUGCGGAAAUAAAAAUAUGGAGAGGGGUCAGUGACCGAAAAGCAUGCUAUCCUGUAAAGGAAAUAAAGAGAAUUGAGAAAGGCUUACAGAAUGUACAGUCUCGUGAAGCUCAUCAUCAGAAUGUUGAACUGACUUGCUUGGAUGGAAAGAUCUCAAGGACUUUCAGUCGGGUCCAGUCAAGAGAGUCAUCAGGCUAUAACAACUCCCUUCUUUUCCCUACAAGCCCUCCACCCAUAAGGAUAUCUCGAUGCCCACAUACGGCUUGAAGAAGUUAUUGACGAGUCAUCUCCCCAAUUCCCAAAACUUCGGGAGAUUAAAAGUUGUCUUUCUAGAGCAUUUAGAAAUGGUCAUAAUUUAACAGGGAGGAAUUAUCUAGAAUUGGUUGUGCAGCCAUAAUCUCUAUUGGUAAAAAUCCCUAUAUUUGUUACUAAGCUAAAGUUAUAAUCUUUAUAUUGGUAUAGAAUUUAUUUGAUACAAGCUUAAAUUUACUUUGAUAUGAAUGUCUUAUGAAUUUAAAAUUAAAAUUCAUAUUGUUAUGCUCAUGUAUAGGCAUCGUGCCUAUAUGACAUUUAAGUAUAAAAGGCUUAUAAUCAGUAAUUUACUGCUAUUAAAAAAACUAAUCUAAGAUGAUUAAAGAUAGAAAUUAAGGGCCAAAUAACAAAUUCAUGGCUCAUAGUUCACUGUUAGGGUAUUUUCAAAGUAUUCUCUUCAGAAAUAGCUGAGAGUCGUAGUUCAUGGAAAACAGUCUAGAUUUCAUUAUAUAGAUAGUUUUAUAUAUUAUUUCCUAUAGGUGGUUUUCAAAAACAUCACAAAUCCACAAAUGUGACACUUAUUGUAAUUUAUCAUUUGUUGAGACAUGUGUAUCCUGACAGUUCCCCUUAGGUGGAUUCAAAGAAGAAAUUAAACAUCUCCAACUCGAGGUGAUGUAAUCCAUUGGCUAUAUGGCCACUGGACAGAAAUUGUCUGUUUCUUCUACAGACGAAAUACUGUCCAAAAGAAGACAUAUUACAGAAUAGUCGACUGAUAAUUUCUGCCAAGCCAAAAUGAUCAACCUUUCAAAAUUCUACGUUUCAAAAGUCUGUCACAUGAUCCUAGGACAGAAGGCUGAAGAUUUGCUCUCAGAUGUUACUACAGGGGACGGUAUAAGUAGAAAAUUGUCUCUUUCACCUGUCUCAGCUCAGGAAGCCAUGUUAGGCUUCCUUUAUUUUUAGAUAAUGUUGGUCAUUCUCAGAUUUCUGACAGGGUUGAAACUAGUUAUAAUCUCAUAGCCUCCCCAGGCUAUUUAACUUUGAGAAGACAUAUUUAAUUAGAUAUUUAUCAGAUAAUAUACAAGCUAGCCAGGGCAUAACAUGGAUUUUAAGCCUUCCUUAAGCUACAAUAGAUAACUAAAUGUUCUGUUUCACUGAUAAAAUGUUUGACUGGGUGUUAGUAUAUUUUAUACUUUUAAAUUACAAAAUGAUAAUAGUUGUACUCAGCUUACAUUUGAGAGAAAAGUUUUGUUAAUUAGACAGAAAGGGUGAAGUGUAAGUUGAUGUCAUUAUGCAGGUAAAGGCAGACAAGAUGAGAGAGGCCUGUCUCUGGACAAGAAGGAAGGGAGGUGAGAACAGAGGUUUUCAAAAGAAAGGGAGAAGCAGGAGAGAAGGGCCGGAGAGAGGAGAGGAACUGAAUAAACAUGGAGACAGAUGUUAAGAUUCCUUUCUGCUCAGAGGUAAAGGUUGUUAUGACUAAUUUUAAGAAAUGGGUGUGUACAUAACUUUGUGCUGUCUAGAUAUCCAAAUUACACCUUAUCAAUUAGAUCAGAGGUUAUUAUGUGAUGUGUUCUUUCACAUGGUGACUUAAUUGAGUUCAAGAGAGCGUGUGGUGGCAGGACACACUGGGCCCGCUAUGGGUUGGGAUUUGGAUGCCUGGGUUGGUAACCACCCACCAAGGGAACUGAGAGUGAAUGACUCGAAGACAGACCUCCCAGUUCAGAGGGACCCUGAGAAAGAAAGCAUGAAGCAGUAUGCACGGGAACUGGUCUCAAUGAUUACGUUUUAUUUUUUACCAAAAUAGUCAUAUAUCAUUUUUAUCAAUCUGGAAGGAGUCAAUAGCUUUUCUUUUCCUGUGGAAAUAUAGGCAUAACCCCUCCCACAGUGUAACACAUUUCCCGUUUUCCAUUUUGAUAAAGGAUGUGCAAAAAAAACCAAAAAGCUUUUUUAGUUCAGCAGUUCGCCCCACAUUCCAAUGUCUUUCUGCAGUCAUAGUUUUUUGUUCAUUAGCAUUUUAAAAGUUUAAGGUUAAUAAAGCACUAUAUAGUCUA